AACCGAGAGGAAAAUGAGGACUAAGUUUGUAUGGAAACGCGAUUUCGCCAGGCCGUCCACUUUACUCUUAACAGACGGCAAGUAAUGCCCUAUCCUACCAGCCAUUUCGGGAUUCACAAUAUUGGGUAUAUGAUUAUAUUCAUAAACCAACUAUCACAUGUGCUUGGGGGCUUGUGACUUGUAUAGUCAUGGUCUGAGAGUCCCUAAUCCUUAAGUACCUACUUCUUUCGACAAAUAAAACAUUACAGGUAAUAUGUGACCGACAACUUCUCCUCAACUAGCUUUUAAGCAGAAUGUCUUGUUGUACAAUGAUUUUGAUGUUAAAAAUACAAUAUAUUCCAAUGAUUGAAAUCUGAAUGUGCGUUACAAUUGUUGUUAAAAUUAAUGUUCAAAUAAUCCAAAUCAAGUAAUUUCUGCUGUUAAAUGUCAUACAUCCGUCGAUUAUCAUUAUGGAAAUAAAUACUUUAAUGAUAA